GUUGGACCGAAGUGGAUGGAACGCGCCGAAGAACCGACGCCGACCAACCAUAUGAGAAGACGGAGACGUAACGCCGUCGGAAAUCCACCUACGAAUCCUAAGCGAACAACAACAGUCGGGGAAAGAAGAUCAAAGACAACGACUCCACCGGAGCCGCCCUCCUGAAGCCGGGCCCUCAUUGCUGUUCCCACUACACUCUCCCCUUGACAACCUCCCCCAUAUAUAUUGUUAAAAUCGGUACCGGCCGUCACCGGGCUGCUAUGCAGUACUUAUGUUUAUUCACAUAUAACUGAUGUCAUCUCACUUUGAUAAUUCAAUUCAAUAAAGCACCAUUCGUGCGCGUCACUAUUAGACCGACGGAAGCCGGCGCUCUUUGGAGUGUCCUGCAAAUACCGAAACUAGCCAAAUGCCUCGUCAUCUAAUUAGUGACGCGUAUGAAUGGAUCAACAAGAUUCCUUCUGUCCCUAUCUACUAUCUAGCGAAACCACAGCCAAGGGAACGGGCUUGGCAAAAUCAGCGGGGAAAGAAGACCCUGUUGAGCUUGACUCUAGUCUGACUCUGUGAAGAGACAUGAAAGGUGUAGCAUAGGUGGGAGAUUGUCAAAUUGCCAUCGUUCGCGCGGUGGUCCGGUGAUCGCCAAUGAAAUACCACUACUUUGAUCGUUUCUUUACUUAUUCGGUAAAGCGAAAAAAUUGUGGCCAAUUUGGCGGUGUUUAUGUCGCUGUUGGUCAUUGUUUUCAUGUUAGAUUGAAGCUUUGUUUACAGCCGUCGCUUUGUGUCGCCAUUUGACGCAUUGUUGUACUGGGUUAUCCCGGUGUGUGGUGUAGUCAGUAUGGAUGAUCGGCGAUAGGUUUGAAGUGAUUCGCUCCGGAAACAGUGUCAGACGGGGAGUUUGACUGGGGCGGUACAUCUGUUAAACGAUAACGCAGGUGUCCUAAGGUAAGCUCAGCGAGGACAGAAACCUCGCUUAGAGUAAACGGGCACAAGCUUACUUGAUUUUGAUUUCCAGUACGAAUAGAAACCGCGAAAGCGUGG
rnacentral:ncRNA from 1 species